UAGAAUGAGGUCAAACUACUUUUAAAUAUUAGAUAAAUUAGUCUAAUUUAAAAUUAGUUUUGGACUCAUAAUAAAACUCCUUAUGGUUUGAAAGUUAUGGUCAUUUUUCUAGUAGGGUAUCACCCUAAAUUUUCUGCUACGCAAAAUAGAAAUUUCAUUUGAGAACAUUAAAUAGUUUGACAAACUUUAGACUAAUAUUUUGGGUUACGUCCUAUAUGAAUGUUGUCUUUUUAUGAGUUUAGAUUGUCAUAAAAUUAGUUGCAGUUUUAAAUGAUCUUUAAAUUUAAUGAUAUGCCCUUAAAGGUGGACAGUGUUCAUCUUAGAUAACCAG
rnacentral:lncRNA from 1 species